rnacentral:rRNA from 1 species
GACGAACGCUGGCGGCGUGCCUAAUACAUGCAAGUCGAACGGACAGGCGCUGCCUUUGUCGCAUGCUCUAGGGGCGAAAGGGUGAGUAACACGGGAGUAAACCUCCCUUUACUUCGGGAUAAACUCAGGGAACUGGGGCUAAUACCGGAUAAGAGCUUCCGCUGCAUGGUGGGGGUUGGAAAGUAUCGGCUGUCGCUGUCGGACUCGCGGGGGACCAGCUCGUUGGUGGGGUAAGGGCUUACCAAGGCUUUGAGGGGUAGCCGACCUGAGAGGGUGAUCGGCGACACUGGGACGGAGACAGGGACCAGACGCCUACGAGAGGGAGCAGUAGGGAACCGGAGGCAAUGGUCGAGAGUCUGACGGAGCAGCGCGGCGCGUGUGAUGAAGGUGUUCGGAGCGUAAAACUCGGUUGCCGGGGAAGAACAGCUUCCGGAGUAACCGCAGGGACCUUGACGGUAACGGGUAAGAAAGCACCGGCUAACUACGUG